GACGAACGCUGGCGGCGUGCUUAACACAUGCAAGUCGAACGGAAAGGCCCUGCUGUUGUGGGGUGCUCGAGUGGCGAACGGGUGAGUAACACGUGAGUAACCUGCCCUUGACUUUGGGAUAACUUCAGGAAACUGGGGCUAAUACCGGAUAGGAGCUCCUGCUGCAUGGGGGGGGUUGGAAAGUUUCGGCGGUUGGGGAUGGACUCGCGGCUUAUCGGCUUGUUGGUGGGGUAGUGGCUUACCAAGGCUUUGACGGGUAGCCGGCCUGGGAGGGUGACCGGCCACAUUGGGCCUGGGAUACGGCCCAGACUCCUACGGGAGGCAGCAGUGGGGAAUAUUGCACAAUGGGCGGAAGCCUAAUGCGGCAACGCCGCGUGCGGGAUGACGGCCUUCGGGUUGUAACCCGCUUUCGCCUGUGACGAAGCGUGAGUGACGGUAAUGGGUAAAGAAGCACCGGCUAACUACGUG
rnacentral:rRNA from 1 species